ensembl:lncRNA
GCAGGACUUGAGCUGGUCAGCAUCAGCAUUUUUUUCACUCAGUAUAAAGCGUGUGCCGAUUAUGUGGUGUUUUGUGUGUGUAAAUAAUAAAAAUAUCCCUCAAAUCCUUUCAGGACAAUGAGGCGACGACUUGUUCCGAUGGGACAUUUGGUACAAAGCGGUAUUUCACAUGUGAAGGAAACAAAGCCUUGUUUGUACCACUGACCAACUGCAAACCAGACAGCAGAUUUCUGUUCAUCCAGAAUGAGAUCCCAAAACCUCUUGAACCUCCCUCAGGUGAGACCCUUCAGUCUGCUUUAUUAUUCCUCCACUUACAGAAACAUUCUGAAUGUUGAAGCCUAAAGAUGAUGACCUUUUCCCUUCUUAGUCACACUCCUGGAAGAUUUAAAUGAAGAUGUUCCCCCUGUAGCAGAGCCAGACGUUUUGUCCCAUCUGAUUGGCAGAAUGAGGGGAAUCCAAGGUCACUUCAACUCCUGCUAUCUAGAUGCCACUCUCUUUAGGUACACAUCUCAAGAAACAUGUGUUAUUUCAAGUUUCAAUCUGUUUCAUACAUGCUGAUGCAUUUUCUUUUUUUCUCUGCUUUUACAGUCUCUUCACAUCAUCUGUAGCUUUCAACAGAAUGUUUAACAGAUCAGCAGAUAGCGAGGAAGGCAUUUCACACAUUUUAAGACGGGACAUUGUGAACCGUUUACGCAGAACGGGUUUUGUUCCAGCAGAGAGUGUGAUGAAGUUUCGUAAACAGCUGGGCUGCAAAUCUUUUGCUACAGAGGAGAAAGGUAUUACUUAUCCCAUAGUGGCCAUUUACUUGUUGAUGUUGAGCUGCAGGUUUUCAUCUGUGGCUUAGAGCUAAUGUUACACUGAUCUCUAAAACAUUUUUACUGCUAUUUCCCUCAGAUCCAGAGGAGUUCAUCACGCUACUACUAAAGCAUGUUUUACAUAUAGAGCCAUUGCUCAAAAUCAGGUUUG